rnacentral:rRNA from 1 species
CCUACGGGAGGCAGCAGUAGGGAAUCUUCCACAAUGGACGAAAGUCUGAUGGAGCAACGCCGCGUGUGUGAUGAAGGGUUUCGGCUCGUAAAACACUGUUGUAAGAGAAGAAUGACAUUGAGAGUAACUGUUCAGUGUGUGACGGUAUCUUACCAAAAAGGAACGGCUAACUACGUGACAGCAGCCGCGGUAAUACGUAUGUUUCAAGCGUAAUCCAGAUUUAUUGGGCGUAGAGCGAGCGCAGACGGUUGUUGAAGUCCGAAGUGAAAGCCCACAGCUUAACUGUGGAAGUGCUUGUGAAACUGGAUAACUUGGAUGCAGUAGAGGAGAGUGGAACUCCAUGUAUAGCGGUGAAAUGCGUAGAUAUAUGGAAGAACACCAGUGGCGAAGGCGGCUCUCUGGACUGUAACUGACGUUGAGGCUCGAAAGUGUGGGUAGCAAACAGGAUUAGAUACCCGUGUAGUC